rnacentral:rRNA from 1 species
GAUGAACGCUGGCGGCGUGCCUAAUACAUGCAAGUCGAGCGAACGGACGAUAAGCUUGCUUCUCUGAUGUUAGCGGCGGACGGGUGAGUAACACGUGGAUAACCUACCUAUAAGACUGGGAUAACUUCGGGAAACCGGAGCUAAUACCGGAUAAUAUUUUGAACCGCAUGGUUCAAAAGUAAAAGACGGUCUUGCUGUCACUUAUAGAUGGAUCCGCGCUGCAUUAGCUAGUUGGUAAGGUAACGGCUUACCAAGGCAACGAUGCAUAGCCGACCUGAGAGGGUGAUCGGCCACACUGGAACUGAGACACGGUCCAGACUCCUACGGGAGGCAGCAGUAGGGAAUCUUCCGCAAUGGGCGAAAGCCUGACGGAGCAACGCCGCGUGAGUGAUGAAGGUCUUCGGAUCGUAAAACUCUGUUAUUAGGGAAGAACAUAUGUGUAAGUAACUGUGCACAUCUUGACGGUACCUAAUCAGAAAGCCACGGCUAACUACGUG